UUAACCAUUGCAUAUGGACUCUGACCACAUUCGAAAACAGGCGUUUGGGCAUCCCCUCGGCAGGCACGGGCCAGCCGCAGCCGGCGGUCCGCAGACCGGCCUGCCGAAGCAACAGGUGGUAAGGGUUCGCAGUGGGUGGGAGAUCGACCCGGACGGGUCAGCCUCGUUAAUGAUCCUUCCGCAGGUUCACCUACGGAAA
rnacentral:misc_RNA from 1 species